AAGAUGGCUGCCCUAAUGUACACUUGGGACCUUGCCUGGCGCCUCUUCCGGGCUUGGCAGCGGGCGGGGUCCAUUGAGUAAAGCCUUGCGUGCCUGCGCCCGCGACGGAGGCGCGCUUCAAAGCGCAGGCGCGGGGAGGGGGUGGGGGAGGAGGGAAAGCGGCGAGUAAGAUGGAAGAUGAGGAGGUCGCUGAGAGCUGGGAAGAGGCGGCAGACAGCGGGGAAAUAGACAGACGGUUGGAAAAAAAACUGAAGAUCACACAAAAAGAGAGGCCAACCAGGAUCUCCCAACCCGAAGACAGCAGGCUUCAAACAGCGCAGAUAAAUGCAGGCAAGAAAAGAUGCCGCCGUUGCUGCCGUCACCGCCUCCUGGGUCGUCCGCCACGGGUUGCACUGCCGUGGCAGACAGCUGGACUUGAGCAGAGGGAACGACCUGACUUACUUGCACUGUGAUCCCCCUUGCUCCGCCCACUGUGACCUUGAACCCCAUGCACUGUGACCUCCCCCCUUCUCCCCCUUCCCACUGUGAUUGGCACAUCGACAAGGGCUGUCCCAAGUCAAUGGAAAGGGAAAGGGUGGGGGUUAGGGGAAGGUUGGGGGGACCCAGCAAGGACUCAGAGAGUCAGACAGUGCCACUUGGCCACUUGGGGUAAAGCCAGUGCCAGCAAUAACAGUUUAUCAUGCUCAUUAAUUUGGGAUUUCAAAACACAAAUGAAAACUCACACCCACCCACCCCCAAGUGCAUGUCUCCAUCACUUAAAAAGUAAGUUCCAUUUGAAAAUAUCCUUUCUUUUUUUUUUCUUCCUAUUUUUGUUUGUUUAUACAAAUAUCUGAUUUGCAAGAAAAAGUGCAUGGGAGGGGUUUUAGUGGUUUAAUGAAUUUUUAAUUAAGAAAGGGUAGUUUGGUAGUCUACUUAAAAAUGUUUCUGGGAAAUUCACUAGAAACAUUAACCAAUAGGAUUUUGGUGAGCUUAGCUUCUGUAUUCCUACUGCCGCCCAGAAAAGGGGCAGGGCUCUGCAGCCGCCAGGACAGACGAGCACCCCAUGCCUAUACCUCCCUCCCCGAGCUAAGUCCCAGGGCAUCUGGGCCUUGCCUGGAGACUGGGCUAGCUCUGUAGGCUCGGAGAGCCUGGGGAGGGUGCCAACCCCACCUCUAGUAUUUUGGGAGAUAGGGAAAGUGAACCGACUUCCCCUUCCCAUACCCCUCAGGGUGGUUCCCUACCAGCCAGGCUUACUACUUCUAGAAGAAAGCAGAGUGCCAGGGAGUGAGAUUGCAUCCCUGGGCUUAGAAGUGACGG
rnacentral:lncRNA from 10 species